rnacentral:rRNA from 1 species
UGGAGGCAGCAGUGGGGAAUAUUGCACAAUGGGGGAAACCCUGAUGCAGCGACGCCGCGUGGAGGAAGAAGGUCUUCGGAUUGUAAACUCCUGUUGUUGAGGAAGAUAAUGACGGUACUCAACAAGGAAGUGACGGCUAACUACGUGCCAGCAGCCGCGGUAAAACGUAGGUCACAAGCGUUGUCCGGAAUUACUGGGUGUAAAGGGAGCGCAGGCGGGAAGACAAGUUGGAAGUGAAAUCUAUGGGCUCAACCCAUAAACUGCUUUCAAAACUGUUUUUCUUGAGUAGUGCAGAGGUAGGCGGAAUUCCCGGUGUAGCGGUGGAAUGCGUAGAUAUCGGGAGGAACACCAGUGGCGAAGGCGGCCUACUGGGCACCAACUGACGCUGAGGCUCGAAAGUGUGGGUAGCAAACAGGAUUAGAUACCCGGGUAGUCC